rnacentral:rRNA from 1 species
AUUGAACGCUGGCGGCAUGCCUUACACAUGCAAGUCGAACGGUAACAGGUCUUCGGAUGCUGACGAGUGGCGAACGGGUGAGUAAUAUAUCGGAACGUGCCCAGUAGUGGGGGAUAACUGCUCGAAAGAGCAGCUAAUACCGCAUACGACCUGAGGGUGAAAGGGGGGGAUCGCAAGACCUCUCGCUAUUGGAGCGGCCGAUAUCAGAUUAGCUAGUUGGUGGGGUAAAGGCCUACCAAGGCAACGAUCUGUAGUUGGGCUGAGAGGACGCCCAGCCAAACUGGGACUGAGGCCCGGCCCUGACUCCUAAGGGAGGCAGCAGUGGGGAAUUUUGGACAAUGGGCGCAAGCCUGAUCCAGCAAUGCCGCGUGCAGGAAGAAGGCCUUCGGGUUGUAAACUGCUUUUGUCAGGGAAGAAAUCUUCUGGGCUAAUACCCCGGGAGGAUGACGGUACCUGAAGAAUAAGCACCGGCUAACUACGUGCCAGCCGCCGCCGUAA